rnacentral:lncRNA from 1 species
AAAACACAUGGCAUAUAUGUAGAAAUUAAUUCUAAAAUCCAUAGGUCAAAGAGGACGGGAAUAAUGUUGGUUUGAAGCUAUGUUGAUGCAUCCAUGUACUUAGAGAUGAUGGUUCAAUACAUUAGCCUGAACAGUUAGAAGUUGUUCUAGCAAUUUUCUUGAUUGGUUGAAAAAACCCUAAAGCCAAUGUUGAUUUAAAGUUAAUGAAAUUUACAUCCCAGAACUUCCCUGGUGAAAGAAAUAAAUCCCAAAAUUUAAGGAGACAGAAAUAUUGGAGUUGAUUUUUCUUGCAGCAACCUUCCUACCUUCUUUUCCUUUCUCCAGAAUGUCUCCUUAUAGGGCUAAAAUGAUAUUUAUUUUGCUAAGACAUCCAAAAGUGCUUUAAUUCAGGAAACAAAUCCUUGAGGAUUUCCUCUGUAUGCUGGAAUGAUGGUAGAAGCUGCUGAUAUUGAUAUAGAUUUUCUGAUUUCAGUGGGGUUAAUGGAAUCCUGGACUGGCGGAGAUGUAUCCCUGCUUAAUUAUCGGAUAUAAGAUAAAGGAACCAUGUGGGAGGAGAAUGAAGAUGCACCCUGCCUUGUCAGGCACUGAAUGGGACAACUAUAGUGGGGCUCAAAGGGGGUGAAUCCCCUAUUUAAAGUGUUGAAGAUCACCAAGAGAGAAGGCAAGGGCUGCAGCUCUUAAAGCCUGGAACGGUAUGUGGGGAUCCCUGAUGUCUUUCUUGGAAGUUCCAUCGCCCUGCUGUGUGACCUUCCUUAAGCCUUUGGCCUCUGCACAUCCAACCUCUGUACAUGGUCCUCUACUAAGGGGAUACUUACCUCUUUCAUUGGGAUCACUGAAGGACUAAUGCAUUCAUUGUUGCUACAAUUGCAACUCUUUUGACUGUUCCUUUUAACCCAAGGGUGGAUUGUGUGAGGGGCAUAAUUUAAAGGAUAAGCCAAUAACCAAUGCCCUUUUCUACCUUUAGAGUCUUUUCAUAAGAUUCUUUCAAUAUAAAAUGUUACAAUCUUGACUUUUUCUGCGUGUAUCAAAUAUACAACUAAAAGGAGUAGUUAGAGUUCAUCUUCAGAACUGUAGAAAAAAUCAAAUGGCAAGUUUUCUGCAAUCAUAAAAAAAUGCACUGUCACUCUCAGAGGUCAAGUUACAUGACCCAGUGAUGCCAACUGACCAAAAUGUUUUUGUCAUGGACGAUUUCUGCUCUAGUCAUAGCUUUAUUUACCAAGUCUAGUUUUCAUAGAAAAACAAGAAAAGGCAUGAGAAUAGUAUGUAGACCACUAAAGUAUUUUUUUUCAAUGAAAAUUUAGGAGUUUAAAAUAGAAUACUCAAAGUUAUUGAUUAUGGCAAAACAAAAGUAACAGACACUAUUGAAGAGCAGGCACAUCCUGAAACCAUCCACAUAAAAGGCCUUCAUCUGACUAGUGGAAUACAUGAAAAGUGAAACCAUCUCUUUCCACAGAAAAAAAUUUAGGAAACCUAGACAUUCAAAACAAUAGCUUGCAAAUUAUGGCAUCAUAAAUGGCUAAAAACCAAAGCCUGUUUCUAUAUACAGAUAAACAAAAAUCUUAAUUUGGGAUUUUUCUGUUUUAAGCCAAUAUAAUUCUAUUUCUAAGCCCAUCAUUCUUAGCGUACUAAAUACAUAAGUGUAUUACAAUAAUUGCAAUUUAAAAUUAAGCAAAAUUGGCAGAUGAGAGAGCAGUUUGAAACACAGAAGCUACUAAAUUCAAACUGAUUAUGGAUUUGGCAACAUCAUGUCCAUUUUUCACUUCAAAAUAAAUGUUAGAGACAUUUAAAGAAUGUCUUUAAAGAAUUAAAGUAAAUAGAAAAGAAAAAAAAGUCUUGCAUAUAAAAAGAUGGGUGUUUUGCCUAUAUUUGACUUUUUCUGUACUUAACAGAAGAGGCAAUGAUACUCUGCAUAUAUUUUCCUUGCUGUAUCAUUUAUUAUUUUUAUUUUCAACAAUUCUAAGUCUAAAUUCAAAUUAUAUAUUCAACAGCUUUUUUUGUGUGUGAGAUUUUGCAAUUAAUGGCCCUAUGAAGUUUUAUUUUCUCUCCACUUUUACAUAUUGGAUCAUUGACUAGUUGGCUUAUCUUUGAUUUUUUAUAACAAUCUCAUUUGGUUUUAUAAGUUAGGGAUUUUCUGAUUUUUCCCAUUGUAGGAAAUAAAUUAGUCACUUAGCACAAUUUCUCAGUUUUAAAAAUUAUUACGUAUUAGAAACUUACUUGGAUCAUCUCAUAAAAAAUUUAAAGUUCAUUAAGAUUAAUGAUGCAAUUGUCCAUUCUUCCAAUAAACACCUUAAGUUUUUACUACCCAAUACAGAUGGUACAAUUCUCCCAGCAUUAAGAUAUUAAAAUAAAAAUGGAGUUAAACACUUUUAAAAUAUUGAAAUAAAACAAACUGAACUUAGAUUGUCUAUUGGCAUUUCUUAUAAUUGCCUAUUGUCUCUUUGGAAAUGGAAAAUGACUUCAGGAACCCAAUGCAAAACUAGGCUGCAUCAAAAGGAUGCAGAGUGGUGAACUGUGCUGACCUCUUAGGUGAAUUUAGUAUGAUUGAUUGUGAUAUUAUAAUAAUGCCUUUAUAUAUGAUAUUAGUUAAAAUAAUAAAACUGCCUUUGAUACAGGAUGCAAUGCCAGGAUCAGAUAAUUUCCAAAUCUCAGGAUCUAGCCUCUUGACAUUUUUCAUGAAAACUAAGCUCUACUCCAACUGUAGAUUAGCUGUAUACUUCCCAUGAUAUUUCAGAAAUGGGUAAGUAGCCCUUUAAGACAAGAUAUGAAGUGUUUGCAAGAUUUCAGUAGUCAAGACUCCAUUAUUAUAGUCACGGUAGUAAUUUCAUUCUGACCAGACAGAUGUAGGGCUGGUCUCAAAUCUUUGAGGUUAAUAAAAAGUUGUUUAGCUUCUUAGCACAAAAGAUUGAGAAAAGUCAGGUGGAAUAACAUGUGCAUUCCAAAAGAACAAUCUGCAGAUGCAUUCAUCAUGGAAGACAAGGUCAGGCAUUUUUUUCAUGUAAGUUGAUCAAAAUGUUAUAAUUGAAGAGAAAUAUCUCAAUAAGAGGGGCUCCAAUAAAUGUGGAUAGCAGCAGAUUCAAAUUGGAAGUUCUCGGAUAAAGAGAUGUUUUGAUUUUGUUUUAUGGUAGCGUCUCACAUACAGAAAUUUGGGCUGACAAACGUACAUGGUUCUUAAAAGACGAUGUUGACCAUAACUUCUCCAGGAUAUUCUCAGUUGCAAAAGAGAUUUGCCAAAGAAAAUGGAUGAAAGAGGUCAAGAGACAGGUUGUUCCGAUUUGACAGGACAUCUAGCCAGAGUUCCAGUCAAUUUCAUUAUCAGCAAGGCAUCUGCACAGAUGAAGGUGUUCAGAGAAAACUAAUAAAACAAGAUACAGUAUUGAUGAUAAAAGAAAAGAUUAAAAGUCUGAAUUAAGAAAGCUUGCCUUCAAGAAAAUAGAAUUAGGAUGAAGUAUUUGAGAUAUAUUUAUAGCCCAGAAGGAAAAUUACUAUUUAAGAUAGAGUAAGACAAUGUGUUCCGAUGCAGUAAAAGAAAUCUGAACAAAGAAACUCCACAUUGCCCAUCCGGAAACUUUCUUAUUUGUAAGAUACAUGGGCCAUAAAGUGGCACAUAUUUCUUUUCUAAGGGCUGCACUCAAAGUCAUAUUUUAUAAAUGAUUUAACUUAGGCUGGAAAAAGCACUUGACAAAAUAAUCUGCAGGGACAGAAUGUAGACAACAGUAAGUUAAACACACUUUUAUUUCUAGCAUAUAGUAAACCAAGAAAACAACGAAUGCACAGAAAUAGCCAUCAACAGAUACUCUGCUAUUCUAGCUGAAAACCCUAUUUCAGUAAGCUGAGAAACUAAAUGGAAAAAAAAUAAACAUAGACUACACAGUCUAAUAAAAACACAAGGGACAGAAAAAUUUAUCCUUUUCAUGAAAAUUAUUUGGUAUUAGAGAUAAAGAGACUUUAAAUUCCCAACUCAGUCAAAAUAUAUCACCGUGCCUUUUACAUAGUAGGGAUGCAAUGGAAAUGUUGAAUUCAGUGAAUGAAUCAGAAAAUAUUCUUAUGUGAACAACAAAUAAAUGCAGCUCUUUGAAUCUCUGAUUGUUUGCCAUUGGAAAUUAGAAACGACUUAUGGAAACUGAUGUAUUUUAAGAAAAAUAUUAUUGUCAAAAUGUUAUCAAAUCCAGUACUGAAUAAAAAAAUCCUGAC